AUUGAACGCUGGCGGCAGGCCCAACACAUGCAAGUCGAGCGGAUGACGGGAGCUUGCUCCUUGAUUCAGCGGCGGACGGGUGAGUAAUGCCUAGGAAUCUGCCUGGUAGUGGGGGACAACGUUUCGAAAGGAACGCUAAUACCGCAUACGUCCUACGGGAGAAAGCAGGGGACCUUCGGGCCUUGCGCUAUCAGAUGAGCCUAGGUCGGAUUAGCUAGUAGGUGAGGUAAUGGCUCACCUAGGCGAGGAUCCGUAACUGGUCUGAGAGGAUGAUCAGUCAAACUGGAACUUAGACACGGUCCAGACUCCUACGGGAGGCAGCAGUGGGGAAUAUUGGACAAUGGGCGAAAGCCUGAUCCAGCCAUGCCGCGUGUGUGAAGAAGGUCUUCGGAUUGUAAAGCACUUUAAGUUGGGAGGAAGGGUUGUACGUUAAUACCGUGCAAUUUUGACGUUACCGACAGAAUAAGCACCGGCUAACUCUGUGCCAGCCGCCGCCGUAAUAC
rnacentral:rRNA from 1 species